rnacentral:rRNA from 1 species
AGAGUUUGAUCCUGGCUCAGGACGAACGCUGGCGGCGUGCUUAACACAUGCAAGUCGAACGGAAAGGCCCUGCUUUUGUGGGGUGCCCGAGUGGCGAACGGGUGAGUAACACGUGAGUAACCUGCCCUUGACUUUGGGAUAACUUCAGGAAACUGGGGCUAAUACCGGAUAGGAGCUCCUGCUGCAUGGUGGGGUUGGAAAGUUUCGGCGGUUGGGGAUGGACUCGCGGCUUAUCAGCUUGUUGGUGGGGUAGUGGCUUACCAAGGCUUUGACGGGGUA